rnacentral:lncRNA from 1 species
AGAACAACCCUCUCUCUCCAGCAGAGAGUGUCACCUCCUGUCUUGGGAUCUUCAGGCUCUGCUAACUGGACCUCACCCUGCCUGCAGGAUCACAUUGCAAAGCUUUCACCCUUCCCCACCUUGCCUGGGGGUAAAUUUCUUCUGCGGAAUCUCAGAAAAUCAAAUUCCAUCCUAAGACUAUUUCACCAAGUAUUUCCUUAAGGAGCUGUGCUGGGGUCCUACGAUGAUACACCAACCACUUGUGCUACCACCUGUCAAAACUAUGGAUGGCCCUACUUUCAGGUACUGAAUAUGAAUAUAUUACAAAAGAACAUUCAUGACUUAAUAAAAGUAGUAUGUUGGAUUUCCAAUGAAGUUGAGGAUAAUAUGAACAUGUUAAUAAUCAUACAAAAGAUUUCACAAAAUGAUACAUAAUAUAAAUCCAAAUAAAUUCUGAAUCAUGGAAAGCUUUUGAAAGACAACCUAAUGAAAUACUGAAAAAUGUGGAUUUAUGGAUAACUUUCAGAUAACUUUUAAAGUCAUUUCCUUGAGACCUUUGGGUAUGAAUUUAUCCCUCAUGAUUUUUUAUUUUCCCCUUGGUCAGAGGACUGGAAGUGUUAAUUUGACUGGAUCUUAAUAGAUUUAUUAAUAUUAGUAAUUUUGUAAUAUUAGCCACAAUCGUCACACAUAAAAUACACACAUAUAUAAUGUCUGUGGCUAAUGUUAUUAUACCUAUAUAUGUUUUUACAUACACACAUAUAGAAAACAUAUUAUGUUUAAUGUAAAAAAUAAUAGGUCUAGGUUGCUCUUUUGAACUGAUUCUUUUCCUCUGUAGAGUUUUGUUUUCUGAUUCACAUAGUCACCAUUAUGUUAUAUUCUGAUAAAUAGCUGCAAAACUUUCCCAUAAUUUGGACAUAAGAGUAUAUCAUUUAUAAAUAAGGGAACAGGAAAAUGGGGGGUGGUGAGCUGAAUUGAACAUUUAAGUUGCUCUCUAUACUAUUUUUAGAACUCUUCUGGCAAACAGUUUCAAUUUCAAUCCUGGGCAUUAAUUUCAAGCUUCAGGGGUACUGGUGCUUCCAAAAAGAUUACUGCUACAGAGAGAUGUGUCUCCUGAUUUAUAUUUAGUAUUACAGUUCCAUAUCAGAUAUUAAUUAUGUAAUUAUUACACCUCAUAUCCUCCUUCCUGACAAAAUUAAAGUAGCUUUCCUGUCCUCACUUAUUUUUAGACUGCAAAGUAUUUAACAAUUCAAUCAUGUAUCAUCUUAGUAAACUAUAACGCAGUUAAUGAAAAAUGGAGGCUACUGAAUUAUUUUAUCUUAAAUUCAAAGCCAAGUGAUUUAAUUCCUUCUUCUGAGUUUUAAAUUCCCAAG